rnacentral:rRNA from 1 species
UCGCCUGUUUUAUCAAAAACAUCGCUCUUUGAAGUAAAAAAUAAAGAGUACUGCCUGCCCAGUGACUUUAAGUUUAACGGCCGCGGUAUCUUGACCGUGCAAAGGUAGCAUAAUAAUUUGUUCUUUAAUUGAGGACUUGUAUGAAAGGCAAGACGAAAGUUUUACUGUCUCUCCUUUGAAAAAAAAAUUAAUAUUUUAGUGAAGAAGCUAAAAUAAAACUGUAAGACGAGAAGACCCUGUCGAGCUUAAGAAAAUCUUUAUAUUAUUAUUUUAAAGAUAAUAAAAUACUUAAUAAAAUAUAUAAAAAUAAAAAAAUCUUUGGUUGGGGCAACCACGAAGAAAAAAAAACCUUCGUUCUUAAAUAAAAAUAAACAAAUUUAAAAUUUUUAAAAAUAAUUUUGACCCAGAAAAUCUGAUUAUAGAAAAAAGUUACCGCAGGGAUAACAGCGUUAUUUUCUUUAAGAGUUCUUAUUGACAAGAAAGUUUGCGACCUCGAUGUUGGACCGGGGUAUCCAAGAGGUGCAAAAGCCUCUAAAGGUAGGUCUGUUCGACCUUUAAAACCCUACGUGAUCUGAGUUCCAAACCGGA